AUGGAUCCCUCCUUCAAGGAGUAUUUCAACAAGCUGACUUCCUCGCUGGACGGAAUCCACGCGGAUAUCCGUUCGACGGCGGCCAAAUUGAAGGAUCUGGUCGCCUGGCGCCCGGAGCUGGAACGGCGCGUCGACCGGCUCUCCACCGCAGUCGCUGAACUCCAACAGGGGCGACCCGCGGCAGAGGAGGAGCAGGCGCCCGCGCCCAAGGCUGCUCCGACACUCGUUCCCCUGCGCGACCCGACGGACAACAACAAGGGUCCGGAGGGCGGCGUCGCAUCAGGGCCGAUCGGCCACGACAUCGACAUCCUACCGCGGGGUCUGGCACCGACGUUCGCGUCGGUGUCCACCCCGGCCAACGGUCAGUUCGCUCCCCUGUCUCCCGCACCUCUGCCCUCUCCUUAUGCACAUGCGAGCCAGUUGCUCGCGGGGAUCGGCGAGACGCACCCAUCCAUUGCGUUUCCCCAAUUUUUUAGCGAGAACCCACGUCUCUGGAAGACGUUGUGCGAGCAGUACUUUCACAUGUUCGCGAUUCAGGAGAAAUUCUGGGUUCCCAUGGCCACGCUCAACUUCUCGGGCACGGCCGCAGUGUGGCUGCAGUCGAUUCAGAAGAAACUCUCUGAAUUCGACUGGGAAUCUUUCUCUUCCUUGUUGUGCACCCGUUUUGGCCGAGAUCGCCAUCAACUCCUCAGCCGCCAAUUUUACACGCUUGCACAAACAACAACUGUGGCAGAUUACAUCAAACGAUUUGAGCAAAUUAUCAGUCAUUUGUCUGCUUACUCAGACUCAAUUCAUGCUUAUUAUUACCUCACUCGUUUUGUGGAGGGACUUCGGGCGGACAUACUAGCGAUUGUGCUGGUGCAACGACCGCCUGAUCUGGACACGGCGUGUGCACUAGCACUACUGCAAGAGGAAGUGGCAAACGGCGGCACCUGGGAGCGGCCUCGUCAACCCACCACGGCUCGGGCGGCGGACCUGGCGACGCGGGCGCACGUGGGCAUGCCCAUGCCGCUCCCGCCCCCUCCUCCACAAGGGCGGCCUCCUACGACACCGGCUACUUCCGAGCGCCGGACCAACGACACCAACCGCAGCGACAACUCCAAGAUCAAGGCAUUGCGCGAGUACCGGCGAGCACGUGGCCUUUGUUUCAAGUGUGGCGAGCGAUGGGGACAGGACCACACUUGCCCCACGAGCGUGCAGCUUCAUGUCGUCGAAGAGCUGCUGGAGCUCUUGGGCAUGGAAGGGAGCGAGGAGCUUCCAAACGCCCCAACCGAGACGGUGAUGGCAAUUUCACGGCAAGCUCUCACGGGUGGCACUCCUCCAAAAGCCGUUAAACUCCAAGCGUGGCUCCAAGGUCGCGCUAUUCUCCUCUUGGUGGAUUCCGGCAGUUCAGUCUCCUUCAUCGACGCGCAAUUGGCAGCCUCGCUGUCAGGAGUUGUACAGCUCAACCGUCCUUGUCGAGUCAAGGUGGCUGAUGGGGGGGGGGAGCUCUGCUGUGUGUCUCACAUACCCAAGUGUCGCUGGUCCAUUCAGGAGCAGGAGUUCAGCACGGACAUGAAAAUCCUUCCGUUGGGGGUUUAUGAUGCCAUUUUGGGCAUGGACUGGCUCGAAGAGCACAACCCCAUGAAUGUGGAUUGGCGCGACAAGCAGCUCUGGAUCACCACUCCGACAGGGACAAUGCACCUUCAGGGCCAGAUUGAGGGGGUUACGAGCUGCACGGAGAUCAACAGUCUGCAACUGCAAUGCAUGCAACGUCAGGGAGAGGUGGCACAUGUCGUGCAGCUGUACCAGGUUUACGAGUCGGAUGAGAUCUUCACCCCAACCCCAGGCAACAUCCAGGCGGUGAUUGAUCAAUUCAAGGACAUCUUUGAGGAACCCAAAGGUUUACCGCCAAGGCGUGCGUGCGAUCACUUCAUUCCACUCAUGCCAGGAGCGCAACCGGUGAAUCUGAGGCCUUACCGUUACAAACCAGAGCACAAGUCAGAGAUUGAGGAGCAAGUUAAAGAGCUGUUGGAUCAAGGCGUCAUUCAGAAGAGUCAGAGUCCCUUCUCGUCACCGGUGAUUCUGGUCAAGAAGAAGGAUGGAACAUGGCGGCUUUGCAUCGAUUACCGCCACUUGAACGCUAUGACAGUGGUGGGCAAGUACCCGGUGCCGGUGAUCGAGGAGCUAUUGGACGAGCUACAUGGUGCUCGAUGGUUCUCAAAACUGGAUUUACGUGCAGGCUACCACCAGAUUCGCCUGGCAGAGGGGGAGGAGUACAAGACGGCCUUUCAAACCCAUGCAGGUCAUUUUGAGUUCUUGGUGGUCUCGUUCGGGUUGGCUGGAGCUCCGGGCACCUUUAAUGGGGGUAUGACAUAA
rnacentral:rRNA from 1 species